rfam:Triticum urartu cultivar G1812 contig405364, whole genome shotgun sequence.
GUGUUACUCCCUCCGUCCGAAAAUACUUGUCAUCAAAAUGGAUAAAAAGGGAUGUAUCUAAAACUAAAAUACAUCUAGAUGUGUCCCCUUUUAUUAAUCUUGAUGACAAGUAUUUCCGGACGGAGGGAGUAUUUC